rnacentral:rRNA from 1 species
UACGUAGGGAGCAAGCGUUGUCCGGAAUCAUUGGGCGUAAAGCGCGCGUAGGCGGCCCUGUAAGUCCGUUGUGAAAGUCAAAGGCUCAACCUUUGAAAGCCGAUGGAUACUGCAGGGCUAGAGUCCGGAAGAGGCGAGUGGAAUUCCUGGUGUAGCGGCGGAAUGCGCAGAUAUCAGGAGGAACACCAAUAGCGAAGGCAGCUCGCUGGGACGGUACUGACGCUAAGGCGCGAAAGCGUGGGGAGCGAACAGG